rnacentral:lncRNA from 1 species
CUCGCCAGUUCACAAACCACAGCCACCGAAAGAGUCACAGCAACCGGAUGAUCCUUACGAUCAGUCUCCGGUGAAGAACCGUCGCAGUCCUCCUCCACCAGCUCCUGUAAACUCUCCGUCCAUUCCUCUUCCAUCACCUCCUCUACCACCACCGGUUCACUCUCCCCCACCUCCUGUUAACUCUCCUCCACCACCGGUUUAUUCGCCACCACCACCACCUGUCUACUCUCCUCCACCGCCCGUCUUUUCACCACCUCCUCCUCCGGUUAACUCACCACCACCACCAGUUCUCUCUCCACCGCCACCUGUUCACUCACCGCCGCCACCUGUCAACUCGCCACCACCACCGGUAUUUUCUCCUCCAGCUUAUCCGCCUAAGUCCAGUUCACCACCGCAAACACCAAGCGAACCUUCACCAUCGCCAAUGAUCUUUUCUCCACAACCGUCGCAAUCUCCACCAGUAGUUUCCUCCCCUCCUCCAGGACCGCCAAAGGUCGACUGCCCACCGGCUGCACAAGCACCAGCUCCAAGUGAUGAACUCAUCACACCAACACCAGCUCCGGUGGAGAACAAACAGACGCCGUCUGCACAAGCACCAGCUCCAAGUGAUGAGCUCAUCAUACCACCCUUCGUCGGCCACCAAUACGCAUCGCCACCACCUCCAAUGUUCGAAGGCUACUAAUAUCAAUCGAAGAGAGAGAGAGAGAGGA